rfam:Streptomyces gancidicus BKS 13-15 Contig0052, whole genome shotgun sequence.
GUGCGGCCCGGCCGUGCGGGCCCCGACGAGACGCGCCGUACCGGGGUGAUGGCGAAGACGACGCACC